GACAGAGGGUGCAAACGUUGUUCGGAAUUACUGGGCGUAAAGUGUGCGCAGGCGGCCGCGCAAGUCGAGUGUGAAAGCCCCCGGCUCAACUGGGGAGGGUCAUUCGAUACUGAUCGACUCGAAGGCAGGAGAGGGUAGUGGAAUUCCCGGUGUAGUGGUGAAAUGCGUAGAUAUCGGGAGGAACACCAGUGGCGAAGGCGACUACCUGGCCUGUUCUUGACGCUGAGGCGCGAAAGCUAGGGGAGCAAACGGG
rnacentral:rRNA from 1 species